rnacentral:rRNA from 1 species
ACGCUCGACACCUACGGGAGGCAGCAGUGAGGGAUAUUGGUCAAUGGGGGAAACCCUGAACCAGCAACGCCGCGUGAGGGAUGACGGUCUUCGGAUUGUAAACCUCUAGUCCUCUGUGAAGAUAAUGACGGUAGCAGAGGAGGAAGCUCCGGCUAACUACGUGCCAGUAGCCGCGGUAAUCUGAGCGGGCUGGCAAGGC